CAUGCUUACAAAGCACUAAGUCGAUAGCCCAGUAUAUAGUACCUCUAGAUCAACGUUAGCUAUUAUAAUUCGGUGGUAGUAUUGAUAUCCCAAGUAAUUGGUAUGUUACAGAACAUCGAAUAACAGGUUAGGUCACAAUAUCAAAAGCAACAUUCCUUCUAUGAAAUAGAAGGCCUUCUGCACUCAGAACCCCAUUGUGGCCCCUUUAUGGUCAGCCAGCUUCUGGUCACAAGUCAGACUUUUAUGUGCUAAGCCCUUCACUUGUUUCUCACUUGGAUAUUAGUAAUGCUGUAUCUGGAGUGUGGGUAAUAUAUCUUUAAAAGAUUGCAGACUGCUAUUUAUGCACAAGUGACCAGGAAAAAAAUUGCAUUGUGUUGUAAUAAAAGAACCCUCUCAACCAGAACUGAAGUGUUGUUUCCACAACACUGAAAGAGAGACUAAACAAAGCAAACUGGAAAAGCUGCUUGGUGUUGUCACCUGAGGAGUCUAGACAGUGACUGCUCUAACAUCAAGAGUGAAGACAACAUGGAGUAGAGCCCCUGGCUGCCCUGUGAUGGACAUAUGAUGUUGCACAUGCCUGCCUACCAAGUAACAGAAAGAUGCUGCCAUUGCACUGUGAGCUGAGAUUCACAUGGAACUGUUCCACAGAGCUAUGGCUGGAAUCAGAGAUUAAUACCCAGCAGUGGAAUGGCUGGAUCAUGUUUCAAUUCCCCAUGAUCAACCCGAGUCAGAAAGCAGAUGAUCCUCCUUCUGACUUAUCUUCAGAAGGUAAGGAGUAGCCUCAUGCUACAUCACAUUCACCCGACUUCAUCUCAUCGCAUAGGCAUUUUUAUCAUCCCCUCUCAUCACAAGAAGGGUGCAUACAGUACAGUAAGAGAUUUUGAGAAAGAGGCCACAUUCACAUAACUUUUAGUAUAAUAUUUUGUUGUAAUUGUUCUAUUUUAUUAUUAGUUAUUGGUGUUCAUCUCUUACUGUGCCUAAUUUAUAAAUUCAACUUGAUCAUAUUAUGUAUUAUGUAUAGGAAAAAAAAACUUAGUAUAUACAGGGUUCAGUACCAUCCAUGGUUUCAGGCAUCCAUUGAGGGUCUGGGAUUGUAUCCCCCAUAGAUAAAAGGAGGGGGAGGCGAAUGUAGUUGGUCACCACAGCACUACUGAAUAGUGUGAUUAAUUUGGCCUAUAUUUAGAUCCUAACUUUCUCAGAAGUCAUUUCCCUACAAAGCGCUUUUUGUAGAUACAAGCUGUGUGUAUGAACAAGUUCAAAUUGUGUCACAGUGGUUCAGGGUCACAGAGCUCUGCAAGCCUGCCCUUCAUUUAUGAAGCACUCUUUCUCCUAAUUCCCAGCAUUCUAUUUUUAUUCCUUUUCUUACUGUAUCCAUUUGCAAGCUUUGGAGGACUUUAUAGAAUGUGAUCACGUGAAGUCUGUUUUUGUGAAUUAAUUGGCUGGUUUUAACUUAAGCAGUCAGUUCAGUUAUAAGAAAAGUGAUAGAUAAUGCAAUUUAAAUUAUUAACUGUGCAUUUAUCUCAUAGAACUAUGGGUGGUUUUAUUUUCUUCUUUUCUAAAUCACACUGUGCAUGUGUUAUUUUUACAAAACAAAAUCUUUUCAAAGUGACUGUAAAAUUACAUGUUAAAUAAUUUCUCUUGAAAUUUACUGUGUUUACCAAAAUCCAUCCAAUAAGACCUCACCAUUUCUGGUCAGAGCUGCUCAUGGGAAUACACUUAGAAAAUUACCUAGAUCCUCUGUCCAGAAAGACAUCAGGCCAGCAAAGGAAGACACCUAUUAGGGUCUAAGAAACUGCGAAUUGUGGAGCAGGUCAGCCAUGUUUGAUAAGCUGACAAGGUCAGUUGAAGAAUGAAUGAAAUUCUGGGGACAAGAUAGCUGGAGGCAAAAUGGAAUUUGGAAGGAAAAAGA